rnacentral:rRNA from 1 species
UACGUAGGGGGCAAGCGUUGUCCGGAAUCAUUGGGCGUAAAGAGCGUGUAGGCGGCUCGGUAAGUCCGCUGUGAAAGUCCAGGGCUCAACCCUGGAAUGCCGGUGGAAACUCCUGGUCUAGAGGCCGGUAGAGGGGGUGGAAUUCCGGGUGUAGUGGUGAAAUGCGUAGAGAUCCGGAGGAACACCCGUGGCGAAGGCGGCCCCCUGGGCCGCGCCUGACGCUGAGACGCGAAAGCGCGGGGAGCGAACGGG